rnacentral:sRNA from 1 species
UCAACCCCUUCAAACACUCGACUCCUUGGGUGUCUAACUGUACGAGUAUCUCUAUAUCUCUUCCCACAGUCACCGCUUGGGAUUUCCGGCCUGAAACCACGCUAUUCCUUUUUUGGCCCUGCUGGCCUGAACAGGAAACUGCCUAAAUCAACCUCUCGCUGCUUGAGCCUCCUCCAUCCAUGUUCAAUGUUCACCACAUCUCCAACAUCAACCCCUUUCUUGACUGCGCUGGGGAUUUCUUUUUCUUUUUUUUUCUUUUUUUUUUUCCACUACAUUGACUGGCUUCUCCUAUUUUAGGCUCUUGGAACUCCGGAUGUUCUGCCCCCUUCCGUUUACUGUCUUUAUAAACUGAUGCUGAGAUGUGCUUACUAAAAGCGGUUUCAAAGGAUUGACAUCAUAAUCCGGCUUGGGUCUUCUAUUGUCUCAUCUUUUCACUAGUCCUCCGUGUCAUGACAGAACCUGAGGUUGAUGCCAUCAGGCUGACCUCUCCAGCUGGUAAUGGUGUCACUGAACCCAUAGUUCUCCAUAGCACUGUUCCCCAUGUUAGAACGGAGGCUACUUAAUGCUCUGUUAUUUGCCUUAUCCUAGGCGCUCUAAUAAAAGAAUGACCGUACUGGAAUAUAGAUCUUUAUCCUCGGCUUAGGAUGUGGUACUUGCCUCUAAAGCCAAAAUGAAACCUCCAUGAUUUUCUAGGAUCCCGGGAGAUAUAUGGAAAGACAACACUGACCUCGGCUUGAAAGCGCCAGAAUAUACUCUAGGAUGCAAUAUUUGAAACUUUGUAGCAUCAUCUCCGAUCUACAUACCUAUCCGUUGG